rnacentral:rRNA from 3 species
AACACAAACCCCGGCGCUGAAUGCGUCAAGGAAUUUAAAAUUUGCUCUGAGCGCACCUGCAUGGCACCGGAGACGGUUUUCGUGCGGGUUGUGUUCUGACACAUAAUAUAGAAUGACUCUCGGCAACGGAUAUCUAGGCUCUUGCAUCGAUGAAGAACGUAGCGAAAUGCGAUACUUGGUGUGAAUUGCAGAAUCCCGUGAACCAUCGAGUCUUUGAACGCAAGUUGCGCCCGAUGCCAUUAGGUUGAGGGCACGUCUGCCUGGGCGUCACAUAUCGAAGCCUCUCGCCAAUUUCCUAUAUUGAUAGGGGUAUUGUGCAGGGCGAAUGUUGGCCUCCCGUGAGCUCUAUUGCCUCAUGGUUGGUUGAAAAUCGAGACCUUGGUAGGGUGUGCCAUGAUAGAUGGUGGCUGUGUUACGCACGAGACCAAGUAAGUCAUGUGCUGCUCUAUUGAAUUUAGGCCUCUUUUACCCACAUGCGUUUCGAAACGCUCGUGAUGAGACCUCAGGUCAGGCGGGGCUACCCGCUGAAUUUAAGCAUAUCAAUAAGCGGAGGAAAAGAAACUAACAAGGAUUCC